rnacentral:tRNA from 1 species
GGAGGGGUACCGAAGCGGUCAUAACGGGCUCGACUCGAAAUCGAGUUGGGGCUUUACCGCCCCACGAGGGUUCGAAUCCCUCCCUCUCCGCCA